rnacentral:rRNA from 1 species
GAUGAACGCUGGCGGCGUGCCUAAUACAUGCAAGUCGAGCGAACGGACGAGAAGCUUGCUUCUCUGAUGUUAGCGGCGGACGGGUGAGUAACACGUGGAUAACCUACCUAUAAGACUGGGAUAACUUCGGGAAACCGGGGCUAAUACCGGAUAAUAUUUUGAACCGCAUGGUUCAAAAGUGAAAGACGGUCUUGCUGUCACUUAUAGAUGGAUCCGCGCUGCAUUAGCUAGUUGGUAAGGUAACGGCUUACCAAGGCAACGAUGCAUAGCCGACCUGAGAGGGUGAUCUGCCACACUGGAACUGAGACACGGUCCAGACUCCUACGGGAGGCAGCAGUAGGGAAUCUUCCGCAAUGGGCGAAAGCCUGACGGAGCAACGCCGCGUGAGUGAUGAAGGUCUUCGGAUCGUAAAACUCUGUUAUUAGGGAAGAACAUAUGUGUAAGUAACUGUACACAUCUUGACGGUACCUAAUCAGAAAGCCACGGCUAACUACGUG